UACGUAGGGAGCAAGCGUUGUCCGGAAUCAUUGGGCGUAAAGCGCGCGUAGGUGGCCUCGUAAGUCCGCUGUGAAAGUCAAAGGCUCAACCUUUGAAAGCCGGUGGAUACUGUGAGGCUAGAGUACGGAAGAGGCGAGUGGAAUUCCUGGUGUAGCGGUGGAAUGCGCAGAUAUCAGGAGGAAUACCAAUAGCGAAGGCAGCUCGCUGGGACGUAACUGACACUGAGGCGCGAAAGCGUGGGGAGCGAACAGG
rnacentral:rRNA from 1 species